rnacentral:rRNA from 1 species
GACGAACGCUGGCGGCGUGCUUAACACAUGCAAGUCGAACGGUAAGGCCCUUCGGGAUACACGAGUGGCGAACGGGUGAGUAACACGUGGGUGAUCUGCCCUGCACUUCGGGAUCAGCCUGGGAAACUGGGUCUAAUACCGGAUAGGACCACUGCCUGCAUGGGUGGUGGUGGGAAGCUUUUGCGGUGUGGGAUGGGCCCGCGGCCUAUCAGCUUGUUGGUGGGGUGAUGGCCUACCAAGGCGACGACGGGUAGCCGGCCUGAGAGGGUGACCGGCCACACUGGGACGGAGAUACGGCCCAGACUCCUACGGGAGGCAGCAGUGGGGAGUAUUGCACAAUGGGCGCAAGCCUGAUGCAGCGACGCCGCGUGAGGGAUGACGGCCUUCGGGUUGUAAACCUCUUUCAGCACCGACGAAGCGCAAGUGACGGUAGGUGCAGAAGGAGGACCGGCCAACUACGUGCCAGCCGCCGCAGUAA